GAUCAUGGCUCAGGAUGAACGCUGGCGGCGUGCUUAACACAUGCAAGUCGAGCGAAGCAGUUAAGUUGAUUUCUUCGGAUUGAUUCUUGACUGACUGAGCGGCGGACGGGUGAGUAACGCGUGGGUGACCUGCCCCAUACCGGGGGGAUAACAGCUGGAAACGGCUGCUAAUACCGCAUAAGCGCACAGAGCUGCAUGGCUCGGUGUGAAAAACUCCGGUGGUAUGGGAUCGGG
rnacentral:rRNA from 1 species